UGGUGGAGCGAUUUGUCUGGUCAAUUCCGAUAACGAACUUAAACUCUAGCCUACUAAAUAGUUCUGGGACCCCACAAAAGGUUCCCCGCUUCAACUUAUUAGAGGAACAGGUGGUGUUUAGCCGCACGAGAUUGAGCAAAAACA
rnacentral:rRNA from 1 species